rnacentral:ncRNA from 1 species
UUGAAAUAUUUAUUUUAGCAUUAAUCUAUAUGUAAAUUAUUGUUUAAAAAGGUUUCUCAAAGAAACAACCAUUGCAGUAGAUAAUAUUAUUGAUAUUAAGUAAUUUUAGAUUUGGUAAAUGUUAUAAGAAUUGGUUAAAGCUGUGCCAGCAGCUGCGGUUAUACAGCAAAUUCAAAUAAAUAUUCUUGGUUUUAAAGUAAUUAUUAUGGUUAGUUUCGAUUAAAAUGAUCAUUUUAGGGUGAAAUACAUAAAAUGUUUUAAUAGAUUUGAAUUAUAAAAGUGAGAUGUUAUGAAAUUGAAAUUGUAAACUAGGAUUAGAUACCCUAUUAUUUUUAAUGUAAAAAUUGAGCCGGAGUAUUAUUAGGUAUGAUCUUGAAACUUAAAGAAUUUGGCGGUAUUAUAGUCUAUUUAGAGGAAUCUGUUAUGUAAUCGAUAGUCCACGUUGAACCUUACUUAUAUAAAUUUCUUGUAUACCGCUGUUUAAUGAAUAUACUUUUAGGUUAGAUUUUCUUAAUAAAGAAGUAAUUAAGAUUUCAAGUCAAGGUGCAGUAAUAUAUAAGAUAAAUAAUGGAUUACAAUAAAUUUUAUUUAUUAUGGAUAACUUUUGUAAUAUUAGUUUGAAAGUGGAUUUAAGUGUAAUUUUUUAAAGAUUAUUUAGGUGAUUUAUAGCUCUAUAAUAUGCACACAUCGCCCGUCGCUCUCGUUAGGUUAAGAUGAGAUAAGUCGUAACAAAGUAGGUGUAUCGGAAGGUGUACCUAG